rnacentral:rRNA from 1 species
GGCGCAGCAGGCGCGAAACCUUCGCAAUGCACGAAAGUGCGACGAGGCUACUCCGAGUGCCAUCCGCUGAGGAUGGCUUUUGCCAGGUCUAAACCGCCUGGAGAAUAAGGGGAGGGCAAGUCUGGUGUCAGCCGCCGCGGUAAUACCAGCUCCUCGAGUGGUCGGGACGAUUAUUGGGCCUAAAGCAUCCGUAGCCGGUUCUGUAGGUCUCCUGUCAAAUUCAACGGCUCAACCGUUGAGCUGCAGGAGAUACCGCAGGGCUAGGAGGCGGGAGAGGUCGCCGGUAGUCUUGGGGUAGGGGCAAAAUCCUCUGAUCCCAGGAGGACCACCAGUGGCGAAGGCGGGCGACCAGAACGCGCUCGACGGUGAGGGACGAAAGCUGGGGGAGCGAACCGGAUUAGAUUUGGAAAGGAGAAAUAUCCUUCCACUGAAGACCCGCGUAGUCC